UACAGAGGUCUCGAGCGUUAGGCGGAAUCACUGGGCUUAAAGCGUGUGUAGGCGGAUCGUUAAGUACCUUGUGAAAUCCCACGGCUUAACCGUGGAACUGCUUGGUAUACUGGCGGUCUUGAGCCACCUAGGGGCAACCGGAACAAACGGUGGAGCGGUGAAAUGCGUAGAUAUCGUUUGGAACGCCAAUGGUGAAAACAGGUUGCUGGGGGUGUGCUGACGCUGAGACACGAAAGCCAGGGGAGCAAACGGG
rnacentral:rRNA from 1 species